AUUCGAUCUUUAUACGAUUAUCGAUUUUCGAUUUUAUUUAUUUACAAACUAGUGCCACAUCUCUAAAACCGCGCGCUUACGCAGCUCGCUUGAAGCGGCCAUUUUGUGCGGUUUGUGUUUCGAUGUGCCUAGUAAAUCGAAAAGUUUGCAAUAAUAAUUAUUGUAGUGCCUGCGUGAUGGUAUAUGUGAACAGGAUCCAUAGAAACUUUUGGGUAUUUACAAAUAAAAUCUUAUACAAAUGGACCAAGUAUUAAUGAAUCGCUUAUUGCUAAUAAGUGACGAAAUUAAAAUAUUAACAGACUGUGCUCUCACACAAAGUGCUAGUUACAAUAACGAUGAUAAGACAAAAGCCUGCAUUAUCGUCGCUAAACUAAAAGCAAUGUUGGGUAAAUUUGGUCAUGAAUUGCAUACUUACUUUAAUACCUCUCAAGAACCAGAUAUAGAUGAAGUGUCUACACUCACUAGCAUACAGCUACAUGGA